rfam:Trichophyton interdigitale MR816 cont1.225, whole genome shotgun sequence.
GCUUCUAUGGUGUAGUGGUAGCACAUCGGAUUUUGAUUCCGACGACGUCAGUUCGAUCCUGGCUAGGAGCU